GAUAUACUCCCUCCAUACGGAAUUACUUGUCACAUAAAUAAAUGGAUGUAUCUAAAUGUAUUUCAGUUUUAGAUACAUUCAUUUUUAUCCAUUGCUACAACAAGUUAUUCCGGACGGAGGGAGUAGAUU
rfam:Triticum aestivum genome assembly, contig: Triticum_aestivum_CS42_TGACv1_scaffold_640965_T_1BL-0.072448_5BL-0.048319